UACGGGAGGUGCAAGCGUUGUUCGGAGUGACUGGGCGUAAAGGGCGCGUAGGCUGGCUGGUAAGUCGGUUGUGAAAUCCCAGGGCUUAACCCUGGAAUUGCAGCCGAAACUACCGGUCUUGAAUGUCUGAGGGGUUGGCGGAAUUCUUGGUGUAGGAGUGAAAUCCGUAGAUAUCAAGAGGAACACCGGAGGCGAAGGCGGCCAACUGGCAGAACAUUGACGCUGAUGCGCGAAAGCGUGGGGAGCAAACAGG
rnacentral:rRNA from 1 species